rnacentral:tRNA from 1 species
GUCCCUGUAGCACAAUGGAUAGAGCGUUGGACUUUUAUUCCAAAGGUCGUGGGUUCGAAUCUCCCCUGGGAUG